GAUUUUUAAUUUGCACCCAUGACCCCACUUGCACCUCUCUCUCUCACACACUCACAGAUCACCCAGUCUUUCUCGCACUCUCAGUCUCAUUAGGUCUGGCCGUCAACAAGCAUUGAAGCACACACGCAGCCCACCACCGGCCACCAGCCCACCACCACGCCACGCCACGCCACGCCACCACCGCCGCGCGCCUCUCAAUCUCUGUAUGUCACGAGAAGUGCUCUGCGUUGCCAGCGUUGGGAAUCUGCACAGCUGCACUCAAGGAGUCAAGGAAGGUCAUGGACAAAUUUUUAGUAAAGAGAGCAAGGUCAUGAGCAAUGUGGAUCAAGCUCAUCAUCAAUGUGCUCAUUUGAAAAAUUUGAACCCCCUGACCCCGGGUCCUGGAUCCGCCACUGGAUGAAUCAAAUAUAUUUUGCAAUCUUCUCAAUUCUUCCCCUCUGAACUCUAAACGUGCUUCAUAUAAAAGGAGGUGUCAGAUGGUUUUUUUAUUACUCCUGGGAAAGGCUAAGGAGAUGGAGGUAUGGAGAAAUUUCUCUACAAAAGGUCUCAAAUCGAGUUUCUUUAGUCAAAUUUCUUUAUGAAUUUUUUUUCAUGGAUUUUAUUGUUAUUUUCAUUUUUAUUAGUGUUUUCAUGUAAUGGAUUCCUUUGUUUCUCACUUCAUUGGUUUAGUAUGCAUUGUUGCAGGUAUAGAGUUAUGUUAAAGCAUUUUAGAGGUUUGUCUAAAGAAACUUUGCUGAUUAUAUGUUUACGCCCUGAACCCAUCUUUGUCCAUCUCGCCAUAAAAAAAAUUCUGUGUUGUUGUUUUACAGCAUAUAGUUUUCUCUAUCAUUUUCUAAUCUUUUUCAGGGAAACCUUGCCCAAUGUUUGAGUAAAACAUGUCAAAAAAAAUGGAUGAUGAGAUAGGUAGCAGGAAAGUCUUCCCUUCACCCCGGUCAUCAUAGGUCCUAUUGAAACUCCUCAAACAUAAAUCAUUCUUUCUCAACCAAUCUGUGUUUUGAGUUGUUGCUUUUCCCCCUUAUUGGUUGAGAUUAUAUUGAUGGAUGAUCAAGUAUGGACUCAUAUCAUUGUAUGAAACUGAAUGUAACUUUUUUUCUUUUUAUUUAGAUUGAUGCAUUUUGAAGUUUGAACCAAGUGGAAAAUCUUUAUAUACCAUAAAUUAGGUUUGCUGCCAUUAACGUUGAUUAGUUUUUCUCCUUACAUUUAGCUUGAUGUUUCUCUUGCUAUAGACACAUUACUUAAUUGUUCAAUUUUAAAAUUAAUUAGUUUGUUGCACACGAUUUCCUUGGCUGUUAUAUAUCCAAUGAACUUUCAAAUUUUGUGAUUGAAAUUACAAAAUUUCAGAUGGAUGGGAGCGGCGGCAGCCGAACCACCGCUACUAAGUUAAUCAAGAAGAUCAAGCAAGAGAAGGAUGCAAUCAUUGGGACAACUUUGAGUUUCAGUAGUUUUGAUUUAUUUAUUUUUUAAAUAAUUGUCCAAUUUUUUAAGAGAAUUUCCAAAACCCUCCC